rnacentral:rRNA from 1 species
CAGCCGCCGCGGGAAUACGAAGGGGGCUAGCGUUGUUCGGAAUUACUGGGCGUAAAGCGCGUGUAGGCAGGUCUUUAAGUCAGAGGUGAAAUGCCAAGGCUCAACCUUGGAACUGCCUUUGAUACUGGAGAUCUUGAGUCCGGGAGAGGUGAGUGGAAUUGCGAGUGUAGAGGUGAAAUUCGUAGAUAUUCGCAAGAACACCAGUGGCGAAGGCGGCUCACUGGCCCGGAACUGACGCUGAGACGCGAAAGCGUGGGGAGCAAACAGGAUUAGAUACCCGCGUAGUCCCUGUCUCUUAUCC